rnacentral:rRNA from 1 species
GUUAGUUGCUACGAAAGGGCACUCUAAUGGGACUGCCGGUGACAAACCGGAGGAAGGUGGGGAUGACGUCAAGUCCUCAUGGCCCUUAUAGGUGGGGCUACACACGUCAUACAAUGGCCGGUACAGAGGGUAGCCAACCCGCGAGGGGGAGCCCAAUCCCACAAAGCCGGUCGUAGUCCGGAUCGCAGUCUGCAACUCGACUGCGUGAAGUCGGAAUCGCUAGUAAUCGCGGAUCAGCAUGUCGCGGUGAAUACGUUCCCGGGUCUU